rnacentral:rRNA from 1 species
AUGGAAAUGGAAAUGGGGAUGGACUCUCUUUGGCCUCACCAUCAACACCCUCCUCCUCUUCCUCCUUCCUCAGAAGUACCAGAUGCCUUCUCCUCCUACUACUAUUACCCUCCGUUGGCCGCGGCCGCAGCCGCGGCCGCUACGACGGACAACCCAACGCCUCCGGCAGUUUCAAGGUCAAGGGCGUCAAGAUCUAGGGCCGCGGCGAGGAAAGACAGACACAGCAAGAUAUGCACGGCCGGUGGGAUGAGGGACCGGCGGAUGCGGCUGUCCCUGGACGUGGCCCGGCGCUUCUUCGCCCUCCAGGACAAGCUGGGCUUCGACAAGGCCAGCAAGACGGUGCAGUGGCUCCUCGACAGGUCCACCGCCGGCAUCAACCACCUCGCCGCCUCCAUGUCCGCCUCCAUGUCCUUGUCGGAGGAGGACGUGGACGGGUCUGUUCUCCUGGACCUGGACAACAACGACCACGCCAUGGCCAUGGCGGCCGAUGCUGAAACAAACAAGCAGCAGGAGCAGGAGCAUCAGACGGCCAAGGCAAAAAGAAGAUCAGCUCCUGCUGUUCCAAGUCCAAGGAAGAAGAGCAGCAAUGGCAGCGCCCCUGUUCUCCUCCCAGACAAGGCGUCCAGGGCAAGGGCCAGGGAGAGGGCCAGAGAGAGGACCAAGGAGAGGAACCGCCUCCGGUCGGAGGCUCCGGCACCGGCGCCGGCGAGGCAGCCAGUGGUUCCGGCAGUAACCUGCAGCAACAACUACUACGAGGAGGGGGAGCAAGAGCCAUGGGAGCUGGGAGGAGUUGUCUUUGCCAAACCACGCAUCCAGUACUGA